AUUGAACGCCGGCGGCAGGCCUAACACAUGCAAGUCGGACGGUAGCACAGAGAGCUUGCUCUCGGGUGACGAGUGGCGGACGGGUGAGUAAUGUCUGGGGUUCUGCCCGAUAGAGGGGGAUAACCACUGGAAACGGUGGCUAAUACCGCAUAACGUCGCAAGACCAAAGGGGGGGACCUUCGGGCCUCUCACUAUCGGAUGAACCCAGAUGGGAUUAGCUAGUAGGCGGUGUAAUGGCCCACCUAGGCGACGAUCCCUAGCUGGUCUGAGAGGAUCACCAGCCACAGUGGAGAAGAGACACGGUCCAGACUCCUACGGGGGGCAGCAGUGGGGAAUAUUGCGCGCUGGGCGCAAGCCUGAUGCAGCCAUGCCGCGUGUAUGAAGAAGGCCUUCGGGUUGUAAAGUACUUUCAGCGGGGAGGAAGGCGGUGAGGUUAAUAACUUUGCCGAUGGACGUUACCCGCAGAAGAAGCACCGGCUAACUCCGUGCCAGCAGCCGCCGUAA
rnacentral:rRNA from 1 species